GUUCAGUUGGUAGAGCACAAGGCUCUUAACCUUGUGGACGUGGGUUUGAGCCCCAU
rnacentral:tRNA from 1 species